AUUGAACGCUAGCGGCAGGCCUAACACAUGCAAGUCGAGCGGAUGAAGGGAGCUUGCUCCUGGAUUCAGCGGCGGACGGGUGAGUAAUGCCUAGGAAUCUGCCUGGUAGGGGGGGAUAACGUCCUGAAACGGGCGCUAAUACCGCCUACGUCCUGAGGGUGAAAGUUGGUGAUCUUCGGACCUCACGCUAUCAGAUGAGCCUAGGUCGGAUUAGCUAGUUGGUUGGGUAAAGGCCUACCUAGGCGACGAUCCGUAACUGGUCUGAGAGGAUGAUCAGUCACACUGGAACUGAGACACGGUCCAGACGCCUACGGGAGGCAGCAGUGGGGAAUAUUGGACAAUGGGCGAAAGCCUGAUCCAGCCAUGCCGCGUGUGUGAAGAAGGUCUUCGGAUUGUAAAGAACUUUAAGUUGGGAGGAAGGGCAGUAAGUUAAUACCUUGCUGUUUUGACGUUACCAACAGAAUACGCACCGGCUAACUUCGUG
rnacentral:rRNA from 1 species